UUGGAGGGCAAGUCUGGUGCCAGCAGCCGCGGUAAUUCCAGCUCCAAUAGCGUAUAUUAAAGUUGUUGCAGUUAAAAAGCUCGUAGUUGAAUUUCGGGAUUGACGUGAUGGUCAUGCCUUAAGGGGUAUGAACUGUUGCAGUUGAUUUCUCACCUUCUGGAGAAACUUGAUGUCCUUUAUUGGGUGUCUUGCGGAUCCAGGACCUUUACCUUGAAAAAAUUAGAGUGUUUAAAGCAGGCAUUUUUGCUCGAAUACAUUAGCAUGGAAUAAUAGAAUAGGACGGCAUGGUCCUAUUUUGUUGGUUUCUAGGAUCACCGUAAUGAUUAAUAGGGAUAGUUGGGGGCAUUAGUACUCAAUUGUCAGAGGUGAAAUUCUUGGAUUUAUUGAAGACUAACUACUGCGAAAGCAUUUGCCAAGGAUGUUUUCAUUAAUCAAGAACGAAAGUUAGGGGAUCGAAGACGAUCAGAUACCGUCGUAGUCUUAACCAUAAACUAUGCCGACUAGGAAUCAGACGAUGUUAAUUUUUUAAUGACUCGUUUGGCACCUUACGGGAAACCAAAGUGUUUGGGUUC
rnacentral:rRNA from 1 species